rnacentral:rRNA from 1 species
CAGCAGCCGCGGUAAGACAGAGGAUGCAAGCGUUAUCCGGAAUCAUUGGGUUUAAAGGGUCCGUAGGCGGUCUUGUAAGUCAGUGGUGAAAGCCCAUCGCUCAACGGUGGAACGGCCAUUGAUACUGCAGGACUUGAAUUAUUGGGAAGUAACUAGAAUAUGUAGUGUAGCGGUGAAAUGCUUAGAGAUUACAUGGAAUACCAAUUGCGAAGGCAGGUUACUACCAAUUGAUUGACGCUGAUGGACGAAAGCGUGGGUAGCGAACAGGAUUAGAUACCCGAGUAGUCCCUGUCUCUUAUAC